rnacentral:lncRNA from 1 species
AAAAAUAGUAAAAUAUCUUAUCUAAUUUUUGUAAGAAGAUAAAAACGUUGAAUAAUUUUUAUGAAAAAUAUGAUGACUCACCGUUUAGUCAUUUAAUAUUAUUAAAACAGAAAAAUUUAUUUGGGCAACCCACUAUCCAACCCAACUCAAAAAAUUAGUGGAUUUGUCCAAACUAGCUCAUUUGUGUAGCGGAUGGUUAUUUUACAUCACCCAAACCAGAGUGUCUUAUAUGGACUAGGUAUUGAGUUUAACCAAACUCAACCCAAACCGAC